UGGGAGGCAACUAAAGCAGUGUUAAGAGUUUCUCCACAGACACUACCCAAAGCAGUGCUUCACUACAGUGGCAGACAGACCUGAAAAUUUUCAUCUGAAGCAGCAGAGUGAACUGCAGAGGCAGGUCACCAACCAGUGUGGAGGCUAAAAGCGGGCCUCUUUGGGGAUUCCAGGUGGAAGUGUUGGACAUCUGUAGUAUUCCUGGUCUCGAAUCAUCCUGAUAUUCUUCAUUUUGUUAUUCACAUUGGACUAGGAGAUAGAAUCUCACUAUGUUGACCAGGCUGGUCUUGAACUCUUGGCACCCAAGCGAUCCUUUUGCCUGGAAUCCCAAAGUGUCAGAUUUACUGAAGAAUAUUUCAUUGUAAUUACUUUUUAUACUUUAUAGGUCAAGAGCUCUGUUUUAAAUACAAAAUUUAUUGAAUAUACUUUUUCAAACAAAGUUUCAUGUUCUAAUCAUUGUCUGAUUUCAGCAUUAAAUGAAACACAGUAAAGAAAGUUGGGCUGAUGUUGUUGUUGGUGGUUGUUUUUGUAUUCUGAUUACAGAACUGUAUUUUGAGUGGGCUGAACAUAGAGUAAAUGCAUCCUCAGCUGCU
rnacentral:lncRNA from 1 species